rnacentral:lncRNA from 1 species
CUCAGAGGAUGGUCACCCCUGGUGACAUUAUAAAACAGUGUCUGAACUCACCCAGCUGGGGAACAGGCAGAGAAACCCCAUGGCUUCACCAUCCUCAGUGCAAUGCUAUUCAUUAUCACCUGAAAAACUCUAGGAAUCUACAGGAUGGUCCAUGGAUGCCACACUCAGACCUCCUCAGUGGUGACCUUGGUAUAUUGAACCACAAGGCUGAUAGAAGACUGCACCUCCCGAAAGCAGGCAGCAAGACAAGCCACAGCAAUCAAACCAGAUGUUUCCAGUUCUCAGCCAACGUCGCCUGGGGACCCUCCCAUUGAGAAUGUUACCUCCCCAAGAAGGAAGAGGAACUGAUCUUUUAUGAACACUUAUCAACCUAAAGCCAAGGAAGACAGCCCAGCAGCGUGCUGACUUAUGGGCAUUCUCACGGGGGCAAAGACACGCAUGGCAGACGUCAAGAGGCACGGGAUGACUGCAUUUCAGCCCAGUGUUGGGGCAUGACAGAAUGCUGGCGAUUUGCUUAAUUCGUUUGAACAACAAAAGCCCACGUGCUUCCUGAGAUCUCGGUUCUCCCAGGUCCUCUCAGCAGGUAAAAGAACUGCCACAUCACACAUGGUUGCAAUCAUCACAUUCCUAAGAAAACACACGUUCUGGAAUAUUCGACAGCCCUUUUCCUUUGUUUCCAAAGCCUAAGAAACAGCCUUCAGAAUUGCAGUAGGAACAAUCCUGACAUAUUGAUUCUUCAGUUAAACUCAG